UACAGAGGUCCCAAGCGUUGUUCGGAUUCACUGGGCGUAAAGGGUGCGUAGGUGGUGAGGUAAGUCGGAUGUGAAAGCUCGGAGCUCAACUCCGAAAUGGCAUUGGAAACUACCUUGCUCGAGGGUUGGAGGGGGACUGGAAUGCUUGGUGUAGCAGUGAAAUGCGUAGAUAUCAAGCGGAACACCAGUGGCGAAGGCGAGUCCCUGGACAACUCCUGACACUGAGGCACGAAAGCUAGGGGAGCAAACAGGAUUAG
rnacentral:rRNA from 1 species